UAGGUGUCCCCUGUCUCUCCUAGGCCAUGU
rnacentral:piRNA from 1 species